AGAGUUUAGAUGCUGCCGUGUCUGAGAACCCAGCUUCAGAAAUGCUGCAGAAUGGCUCUCCUGAGGCUGAGCUGUGCUAGAGGGAGGGAGGAGAUGUGCUGCUGAAGUGCUGGUGCCAGUGCCGAUCGUCAUUCCCCUGGGAAGACACGCAGCAAGGAGCACGUUUCAAAGAGGCCAUUGCUUCAAAGGAGAAGACAAGGAUUUCCCUCGCUGCUGGGUGUUAGGAACAGGCUUGCAAAUCUUGCACUGCUUCUCCUUCUGUUCUGUGUUUUUCACCCUAUCAGCCACCUCUUGUGGAAAGGGACAAGGCUUCUCAUCUUUCCAGCAUUUUUUUUUUUGUCUGAGCAUGUUCUCUUAUCAUCGCAUCGCGCAGCUCGCAUUACUGAUGACUUUGUGAAUGCACCAGCCCUACCAGAUGCUAAUGGUUAUGGUUGCUACCAGCUCAGGUUGGUUCUAAACUGUGAACAGAUCAUCAAAGAAGGCCAAAGUGAUCUUGCAUAAGCGCUGCUGCCCUAGGACACUGACUGUAGUAAGACAUAUGAAGAUCUCAGCUCCUUUUUCCUCCUAAAUACAAACAGACUUUCCAAAGAAGCAAAGACUGCAAAGCAGGGAGAUUGUUCCAGAGAAGAUGGGGGAAACCUCGCUGUGAGAGGAAGGAUUAUUUCACUUUUUGAAGCUUUUGGAUUCCCCAAAUGCCCCAAGAACAUGAGUCACGCAUCCUCCUCAUGACGCUGUGUUAAGGGUGAUCCACGUUGAUGAGAUGUGACCAGCAUCCAAAAAGCCUUCGUUGGUGGGGUGGUGUGGAGAGGAGGCACACAAAUACCCCUCAGCCUGCGCUGCCUGCGCUCUUGGAGACUUCUCAGUUCUGGUCCUGAGCAGCAGAAAAUGCAAGAGGGAGGACCACAAAGUGGCUUUGGGGUCUUCUGAGCUGCUUGGGUCU